rnacentral:lncRNA from 1 species
UGCCUGGUAGCACAGGCACGCAACAGAACAUCUCACUCUUCCUGGAUCUUAAAGCUGUUUGUUUGUUGUUUGUUUAUCGAUUGUCCAACACUAGACUGCAAGAGAGAUCAUCCAUAGCCGCAUUCCAGGACAUUUCAGACAGAACCUGAAGCAUGGCGUCCCCGGGAGCUGGGGCAUGGGAGGCGGUUGUGGCGUGGGAUCUAGGGUGUCUGCAGCGGACUCGGCGGCCGUGUGAGGCGCUCGGCCCGCCGGACCCCGCCUGAAGCGGGUCGGUGUGGAAACCGAGCGCCGUUUGGAUGUAGAUCUUCGCCGUAGGCCCAGAACUGGGCGGGAAUAAAGCGAAGACCCAGGUCACACGGUGAGUACCUGAAGCUUACGGAUAUUUCCUGAACGACACGUGGGAGCACAGAGUGGGUUAAAGGGUGUCCUUGAUGAUUUGGAAAUUUGAUCUACAGAAGCACGAGUGAUUUAAAUUUUCUAGGGGCCGUGUCAAAACUCCAUAGAUGAAUGCUCAUUUGUAACAAGACUAUGAAUAAAUGCUUCGAUGUGCUGUUCU